ensembl:lncRNA
AUCUCCUGGCAGCCUGGAUCUGGGUGACCUUGGCUCCUCCCUGCUGGGCGCUGGGGUCCCAGUGAAAGGGGUGAGGCAAGGCAAUAGGGUAAACCCAGCACUGCCCCCAUCUGGCUGCGUUUCAGGCUUGUGAUGGAAGUCGAGGUCUGUGCAAGGAUCCAGAAGACCAGGCUGGUUUGGAGAACCAUUUCAGAUCCUGGGGGCCUCGCCCUAUUUUGGGGACCUGCUCUUGAAGAAACACCUGUGAGGGCAGUGCCUCUUCCUACAUGAACUAGCCUGAGUCAAGUUCCUGGAUCUCACCCUCCUGAACCACUCCCCCACUCCCCAUCACCAACAGCUCUGAAGUGUGCAUUCCAGGAAACAUGGGCUUGUCAAGCCCUGGUGCUCCAGGUUUCUGCUGAGUGGUGGGAAGGAGCCUGCAGCCAGCCUCCUGUGGGUUCUAUUCUAAAAGCCAGUGCUCCUUCACAUGGAACUCUGCUCAAUGUUAUGUGCCAGCCUGGAUGGGAGGGGAGUUUGGGAGAGAAUGGACACAUGUAUGUGUAGAGCUGAGUCCCUUCACUGUUCACCUGAAACCAUCACAACAUUGUUAAUUGGCUCUACCCCAAUACAAAAUGUUUUGGUGUUAA